GACGAACGCUGGCGGCGUGCUUAACACAUGCAAGUCGAACGGAAAGGCCCUGCUUGCCGGGUACUCGAGUGGCGAACGGGUGAGUAACACGUGGGUGAUCUGCCCUGCACUUCGGGUUAAGCCUGGGAAACUGGGCCUAAUACCGGAUAGGAGCCAUUUUGAGUGUGAUGGUUGGAAAGUUUUUUCGGUGUAGGAUGAGCUCGCGGCCUAUCAGCUUGUUGGUGGGGUAAUGGCCUACCAAGGCGGCGACGGGUAGCCGGCCUGAGAGGGUGGACGGCCACACUGAGUCUGAGGGAAGGCACCGACUCGUACGGGAGGCAGAUGGGGGAAAUAUUGAACAAGCGGCGCCGGGUGGGUGAAGAAGGUCCUCGGAUGGGAAAACGCUCUUAGGGUGGAAGACGCCUUUCGCGAGGGACGAUGCUUUUUGUGACGGUACCUAGAUAAGAAGCACCGGCUAACUACGUG
rnacentral:rRNA from 1 species